rnacentral:rRNA from 1 species
UACGUAGGGGGCAAGCGUUGUCCGGAUUUAUUGGGCGUAAAGAGCGUGUAGGCGGCCUUACAGGUCAGCUGUGAAAACUCGAGGCUCAACCUCGAGACGUCGGUUGAAACCGUAAGGCUAGAGUCCGGAAGAGGAGAGUGGAAUUCCCGGUGUAGCGGUGAAAUGCGCAGAUAUCAGGAAGAACACCUAUGGCGAAGGCAGCUCUCUGGGACGGUACUGACGCUGAGACGCGAAAGCGUGGGGAGCGAACAGG